UACGGAGGGUGCAAGCGUUAUCCGGAUUCACUGGGUUUAAAGGGUGCGUAGGUGGGUCGGUAAGUCAGUGGUGAAAUCUCCGAGCUUAACUUGGAAACUGCCAUUGAUACUAUCAGUCUUGAAUAUUGUGGAGGUCAGCGGAAUAUGUCAUGUAGCGGUGAAAUGCUUAGAUAUGACAUAGAACACCAAUUGCGAAGGCAGCUGGCUACACAUAUAUUGACACUGAGGCACGAAAGCGUGGGGAUCAAACAGG
rnacentral:rRNA from 1 species